AGGUACUCAUCAUUCACAAAGUCGCUAGAUCAACAUUAGUUACAUUAUUUUAGUUCACCGAGUGUAUCAAUUAUGAUUGUUAUAUUCAGUUUAGUUCACCGAGUGUAUCAAUUAUGAUUAUGUUAUAUUCAGUUUCGCUUGACAAUUAUGUAUAAUUCCUGCAUUCGUUUUGUGUAUUUUUAUUUAUGUGGUCAUGUUCUGGUAACCGUGACGUUUUAAAAUGACAUACCUCUGUUUGACACACAAAAAGUUACAGCAUGUUUCAGUUUUGACACAGUAAAAAUUAAUUUGACACCCGUGUUAGUGUGUUAAUUUUUGGGAAAGCAGUUUGACAACGCGUUUGCAUGCUAAAUUGACACCUCUCAUUUAUGUGUGAUAUAUAGCUAUGUUAAUUAACGACCAUGUGUGCAAGUCGCGUGCCGGCGGGUAGCCUGGACAACAGGGCAAAGGUAUAAAUAUAUAGGUAUUGUAAGACUAUCGCUCAGACAUUAAAGCAUGCAGGACUGCACCUGAAGUGCAUGGAUUCAGCUAAAUUUCUAACAAGGAUUGCCGGUGUCAUGUACAAGCGAAAUCCAGAUGUUGAUGAUCAACUAUAGAAGUGUUGCUACUCAGUUACUGAACUGCUACCCCUUCCUGUUGUCACCACUGGAAGGCAUGGGCCAUAUCGUGAAAACUCUGAGGAAUAGAAUGAGGGAAAAGAGGCAGAAAAAACAGAAGGAAUAACGCCGAUAAAGAUAGAGCACAUCAGUGCAUUUGAAAAACCAAAGAAAAGACAAAAGAUCAAAUUCAAUGUUCCUGGAGGGGAAGAUAAAUGCUCUUAUAUCCGCCACUGCAAGUAUGUUUCCUUUUUUUCUCAGAUUUCUCUGUGGAGAAAACAUCACCGAAUAUGGUUUCAGUAAAAGAACUGAUGUGCCUGACAUUCACACAGAGGCAGAAGGAGAUAUCUGAGCAUCCGAUGCACGUUUCUGCGAUCUUGAAAAGCUCCCUCCUUUUGAUCAAGUUUUAUUCUAUUCCAGAUGAUAUGGAUUCUCUGAGCAUCAAGUUCAUAGCACUCAUGGCUCUUCCAUUCCAUUAGCAUACAAGCCACACACGUGUACUUUGCACGCAUGCUAACUACACACGUUCCACACACAUCUAGUUAGUAUACAAGCGAGCUGCAUACAAGCCACACACAUGUACUUUGCACGCAUGCUAACUACACACGUACGUUCCACGUACACAUCUAGUUAGUAUACGAGCGAACUGCAAACAAUUAAUUAUAGCCACACACGUGUACUUGCACGUUCCACACACAUAUAUAGUAUAUAAUAUGAACAAACUGCAUAUACGUGUACCUGCACGCAUGCUAGCUACUAUAAUCAAAUAGUUAUAUAUAUAUAUAAUUAUUAUAUAAUUAUCGACAAUAAAACAGUCAACAAUAAUAAAAAUUAAUUAUAAAGAUCAACAGCUAGGUAGUAAAGGUGACAUUAUAAUUAAUCUUUUUCAAAUGUGUUGACUAAACUAGUGACAUAUAACAUCUCAUCAAUUCCAAUAGAAACACACUUUCCAAGCACAUUUUCUGCUUUAAUAACGAUUAGUUCAUUUUUUGGCCUAACAGAAAAAAAAAUUUUUAUUGUGAGAGGAAUAUCAUCGAAGGGCUUGCUACAUUCAUAAACACGUAUUAUUAUAAGCGUCGACAACUGGUUUUCGAUGUCUGCUUGAACAAUUUUUUGUACUUGCCCAUAAGGAAAACGAGAGUGCAUAAAAUACACAACCAAAUCACAUCGCUUUUUGGUCUGUGAGAAUUGUUUGGUGCUAUAUAUAGUUGUCGAUUAUACUCCGAACUCUUUGGUACUGGUUGCAAGAGCUUGAGCACUGUGGAAAGAAUGCAUCUAAAGCCCGUUUUUCUUGAUCAGUAAAUUCUUGCAACACAAUCUUUCCCAACACAAUCGUCUUCCGUGAAUAUGGCAAUAAUGAUGCCCCUCCGACUAACUCUUUCACAAAUCGCAAUUCUUCAAGUUUACUUCCAGUUGGAAAUACUUCACACGUUGGAAUAGCUUGAAUCAUGUUGUAUGUACGCAUACACUGCAAGGCAAUUCCUUGUGUAGUAUUUAUAUUGGAGUGGGACCUUCGAAACUCCAAUACAUGUGAUAAUGGGAACUGUACAGAUAGUAUUUGCAUGCUUAUUUGGACGUUCAAAUCGGUGAUUUAUUUGUUCAAGGAAUCCUGGUCGGCUGAACAUGUCUUGAAGAUGUUUUUCCAGCGGAAGUUGAACAAAAUAUGACACUUCUGACUUGGAACUAAAAUGUCUGGUGCAAGCUGGAUUUGGGUAAGUGUGGGUGUCUUUCUCAAGGGCAAUACUACAGGCUGGGCAAAAGUGGUGUCGGAUAAUAUCUGAUUGUUUUAUGUUCAGUAAUUUGUAGAACUUGUACAGAGUUUUCGGGAGAAUGUGUGAUGGGAGAAGCAAUGUACCAAUUAAUGAGAGUAAAUCUUCAAGAGCUUUGUUUGACAGCUUGUUAACAACAAAAGCCAGAAUAAGUAUCAAAGCUACAUGAAGGGAAAAGGAGGCCUCUGGAUAGAGAGGGGUAUCUACCGAUGGUGCAUCUUUAAUGCGUCGGCAAUUCCGUCCUCAGGCAAGUUGUCAGCAAUCCCGUCCUCGAGCAAUGGUGCAUCUUCUAACAGGUCGUCACAGCAAUCUCGUCCUCGAGCAAUGGUGCAUCUUCUAGCAGGUUGUCAGCAAUCCCGUCCUCAAACAAUGAUGCAUCUUCGUCAGUAAUCCCGUCCUCGAGCAAUGGUGCAUCUUCUAACAGGUCAUCAGCAAUCCCGUCCUCGAGCAAUGGUGUUUCUUUAACAGAGGAACUAGGGCCAGCUAUAGGUAAAAUUAAAUUAGCAGUGUGCAUGCAUGCACAUGAAUGCAGCCUUACUAAAAGAGCUUUACAUGGGCUUGGCAUAGUUAAUAAUUAGUACACAUACCAUAUUAAACUCAAGCCACUCUAUAGGAUAUAGUUAAUAGUUAGUACCACGUACCCUGACCAGGUAGACCAAGCCAUCGUUUUGUGCUUUUUGGCAUUUCUUCAAGAGGAUUGUCACUUUUAAGGUACGCAUUAUAUCUCCUUCUCUUUUUUGAUUCCAUCAUACGUACCUCAGAAACUGCUUCAAGACUUAAUUAGAACUUAUAUAUCUUAGCUAGCUAGUUGCUGGUGAUCAAUGUGUGCAGGAUGAGUGCAGAUGUUUCUUGUUCACAUGGUAACACAGUGGCAGCUGCAACAUUUUUGAAUCUUAUUUGUUGGCAAGCUUGGAAGUAUGGCUCUAUAUGCUCUGUUAGAGUGGACUGAAGAGCAAAGCCUAGGUGCUUUGCCUGUUACCAGCAUUGUUACAGGCAACCAGGCCAUAGGAGAAAUAGUGCAAGCUAACUAUCAGAGGAAAACCUACGAUGCAAAAAUUCUCAAUAUUGGUGAAAAGAACGAGAUUAAAGCACAGCUCAAGCGAGUAUCAAAAAUGCCUUCUGAGCUCCCAGACACUACCAUCGGCACCAUUGACACCACCGUAGCCAUUGAAAAACAAAGAAAAAGGCGUGAAACAGCUACCCUAAAAAAAGCUACAAAAACAACAGAAACAACUUUAGAAAAUGAAAUUAGAGCAGCAUUAAGUAUUCUACAAGAAAACAGCACUACUGAGGACUCUGACAGUAUACCAGCAGACGUCCACCGCUACAGCCGUAUUGUGGUGAACAAGGGACACUUGCAGGGCUCCCACAACGUCAAGCCUUGCCGAAUCCAUAUUUAAACCCUUACUUUCAGCAAGCGUCAGACAACACUGGUUGGUCUCAACAACCUCCACCAAACGUGUUUUUAGCGACCAAGAUCAACAAGUUAACACUGCUUGUAGAUACUUUAACGAGCCGUGUAGAGGCACUCGAAAGUCAGAGCACAAAGAUCUCACCAACGGAGUCAUCCCUUUUUCUUGGAGAGUCUUUGUCCCUGACUGCAGGACAGCAGGCAACACUAAAAUGCCUCAGUGCCUCCCAGGAGUGGCCGUACACUCUUAAAACUUCUUGCCAUCCUGUACGAAGACCUUGAUCUCGGAUCGAUGUGUGCAGUUGGGAAAUCGGGCGCAAAAAACACACCAAUGAACAAAGAAGACUUGGGCGCUCUCAAAGGGUAUUUGCAGAGUAUCUACCCAACUGCCACAACGAUGACGAAAUGAAAGUUCAAUGCUGUUGUCAACAGUGCUUGCUCAGGGGCAAGAAGGAGGACCAAAGUAGUUUAAAAAUCGAAGUACUGUGAUACACUGCAUGAUCUAGUCAUAAUAUGUACGUAUAAUGCAUUUAAUGGUUUUGAGUUUCCAUGGUAACAAUUAAACUAUGACAUCCGUAUCAUGCAUGCAGCACGUACAGUAUCAAGCGUGCAUAAAACAAGCAGCACACGUGCUGCAUGCAUGCUACAUACAUGCAGCACGUAUGUUGAAUCUGGAAACAUAAGUGUGAGACAAAAGCAUCACACACGUCGUGUAUACGUGUGACAUGUGUGUGGCAUGCAUACCAUACACGUAUGCCACACACAAGCAAUACAUAGGUGCGGUACGCGUGCAUACAAUAAGAGCAGCACGUGUGCAGACUGCAUUCACAGUACAUUCAUGGGGCACUCUUAGUACAGCUUUUAUGUUACUCUCCUUCUGCUUGAGUGCGAAAUUCUGAAGUGUAGCACACGUGUGGCAUACAUGUCAGAAGUGUGUGCUAUGAGAGUACAUGUGUGCAACUGAUAUGUGCCACACACGUGUCACACUCAUUGCAUUUCUGUAAGGGUGCCCAUUAAUUUUGUCAAAUUAAUUUACAUUCAAGUUAAGAUUUCUGAUAUAACAGCACUGAUAAUUAUGUUGUUUUACACGCAGGCUUCACUGAGCAUGGCAGCAGCAGCACACGAUUGCAGUAACAGUCAUCCUUCUUUGCUCGUGAAAACUAAUGAGAAUGGGGUUGUCAACGAAGUCUUUUUGAUUUGUGAAAAGACAAUCAUAUCCCCAAUUAAAGGUGUAGAGGCCCCAAUUGUCAUUUAAUACAAAGUACCCAAAGGGAUUGCAAUCCAUGUUUACUCUAUUGGAAAUACUCCUUUGUGGUUUGAAGCCUAAAAAAAUACCCACCAUCAUCGUAUCCAACAUGCUUGUAAGGAUGAAGAAGUAGACUAUAAUAAUGAACUCUGGAUAUGACUGAUCCCUCCCUAGCUGUAUGCUAUAAUAAUGCAUAACCAAUUAAUUUGUGCAAAAUACUAUUGUCAUGCAUGCAUUGAUUAAUUUUUUUACAUAUAAUGCGCUUGCUGUGUGGAAUGCUAUAGUGCGUUAAAACCACACCAAAUUUUGAGUGACUAUUGUGACAAAUGAAUCACGUACUAUUUUGUGUGAAAACCACGCAUCAUUUUUUUACAGUGUGGUUAGCAAGCAGAGACAGAGAAUUCAAAGUCAAGAACAAGCUGUUAAAGAUGUCUACACUGAGCCUCAAUUUAGAUCUAUACUGACUAAUACAAACACUCUACCUCAAUUUAGAUCUACUGACUAAUACAAACACUCUAAUAGAUUGCUGUUGCCAGCUACGAUAAAGUGACUGCUUCCACUAUCUAUAGCUAUGCUGAUACCAUGCAAUACUGAUGUUGGCACACAUGAUUAGAGGAGGUAUCUCUUGUAAUAAUAAUUAUGAUGGCAUAACUUCUUUUUUAGGAACAUGCAUGCAGAGUGUGAAUAUACAUGCAGAUGCCAGCACUGGGCCCGUGACAGAAAUGUGUGCUGUAGAUACUGAAUCCUUGCCUCCUACAAAAAAACAUUGCUCCGAGGCUUCGUGAAAACGUUUAACAUUAUAACAACUCGAUCUGAGCUUCCAACACACUUUUCAAGACGAGUGUAAACAGCAAUCGACAACUAUUUACUCAUGGAGCCUGACCAUCAAGCAGCAUUCAUCUGGGAAAUCGUUCAAGCAUACGUUUCACAGCCCACCAUGCACUCAAGAUUAUGCAGCGAUUUCCAGGAAAAUUGUUGACAAGCAUCCUCUACGAGAUGCAAAACAGUCAAAACCCAUAGUUUUGACUAUUAUAAAAUUAUCGUGCUAUAUAUUCAUGGCACCUAUGCAUGCAUUCAUUAAUGUACUAUAGACCUUAUAAUAAGUGUUCAUGUUCAUUAAUCACAGGCCACAAUCAGCAGGCAAAUUUCCCAGCGUUAUCGAAAUACUCGUCUAUCAAACUUAUAUUUAUUGCAUGAUCCUCGUGGUAGCUAAGUGUGAAAUUAAUCAUGUCUGUUAGAAGAUCCUAUGGAUUUUGAGAGUGAAUCUCUUGUAAGCUCUCAGUUUCAAUAUGUUGUGGGAGGGUGGUGUGCAUUGCAGCAUUUACCUCAGCAAGAAGUAGAUGUAGAGCUGACCAGAAACAGUUUCUGUUUGAUACCUCCUUGAUAUUUCUUCCGUCAUCAAGCAGACAAGUAUCGAGCUCAAGUAAGCUAACGAUGAUGCUUGAAGGCAAGCAUGUAUAAUAAUUAUUAUUAUGCAAAACGCUUUCUUGAAUUUUCUCGGAAUUUCAAAGAAGAGGUGCAAAACAGUAACGGAGAUGGUAUUCACAAACCACUCGAAAAUCCCAUGUGAGAGCCGAGGCCGCAGAAACAUCUGAAGGCAAGACUUGAUAGAGAAGAAAAUACUUUUGGCAAGCUGCAUGCAUGUAUAUAGUAACGUUCUUUUCGUCAGCAUAAUUAUAGAUGUAGCUAUAUAUAAUAUAUAUAGGAUUCAAGUGAUUGCUCCAUGGCUUCUAAGCAGAAGGAAACAACCGCUUCUGACGAGUAUGAAGAAAACUUAAGUAGUUUUCAAGCAGAGCUAACUAAAGACCACCCAAACAGGAAACAAUUAAAGACACUAAUGAAGUCAACCUUUUCUGGACGAAGGUCAUGGAUCAGAUCAGACAGACCAAGCUUAUCAGAAGUGCUUGAUGUGUUUCCUACACUGAAGAAGAGAAAUUUCUUCAACGUGAACUCGUCUCAGUUUUAAACGAGGAUAUGCCACAAAUCAAUACCGGCAAAUUAUUUCUAAAGUCUUUGGAGUCAUGGAAGCAGCUAGCAACCAAAGUGAUAUCUUAUGCCCAGGCUGAGUCCAGAACCAAUGUUGUCGUGAGGAAGGUGUUGGCAUCACAUGAAGCCGAGACGACAUAAGUUGAAGAUGACUUGAAAGCAUUCAAGCUGCUAAGUCUACUUCUGUCCAGCAAGAAGAGUGUGAAAGAUUCUAAACUUGUGCACAGAUUCUCGGUGUUGCAAAGUCUUGACGAAGCGGUGUCUUCUACUUCCGUCAACCAUCCAUACUUGGCUCUAGUACCUACUACCGAUAAUCUACAGUAUUUCCUAAUUAUAGAGAGGAUCGUGGUUGCAAGCAUGGACACAUUUACUGAGGGUUUGUUUGCUCUAAUGUCAGCUUUUUAUGCAUUCGAUAUGGCCUAUCCAAAGAACCAUGGGUCAAUACUGCAACAUCUAGUGAUGAAGAUUGCUGACACAAAGGACACUCUACCACCGAACGUAAAUACUCUGCUAUGCAACACUUUAAGCUAGUAAAGACUAUUAAAGGCAUUAUGCUCACCAUGACUGUAUGCAUAAUACUAUUAUUUCUCUCUGUUAGAUAUGUAUGACAGUGUAUAUACGUAUCUUAUACCUAUACCAGUACAAUAAUGUACUUUAUACCUGAUUUAUUAUUAUACCUAUAAUCCUGGCUAUUGAUCACCCACUUAUUUUUUAACCAUUCACCUUUUUCAUACCAACUGCAUCACACGUUGUUUAUAUACAUGUGGGUAACGUUGUUUAUAUACGUGCAUGUGCAGACAACCAUAACAAACAACGUACAUUAUGAAAAGCCAUGAUUGUGUUGCAGUUAUUACAACCAAAAUAUAUUGUCUUGGAAACAACCUUGGAUUGUAUCGCUUAACAACCCAGGGUGUUCGACCAGUGUAUGAGCCUGAACAACCUUUUUUUUUAACAGUGUAUACCAGAAAAUGAAGAGCUACUGGCAAGCAAAGAAUCUGUUGUUACGAUUGAAAGCUGAAGUGAUACCAAUAGGUCUUUAAAGUAAGUUUUAGUUAUGAUUAUUCCAGUUAGAGCGUUGUAGCUGAUUUGUGGAGCUUAAAAUGGCUGUAGAGUAAACAACCGAUUAUCGAACACGUUCUAUUUUCGAACGCUUGGUCUUGAGGACAGUGGCUCAGAGCACUAAGCUGAUGGUACCUAGGUAUAUAGACUAGGUAUAGCUCUAUUCAAGAACUCACGGCAACAGAAAGCUUCCUCGGACACUCAACUAUUGGAACAGAUUUAGUUCAAACAUAGCCACGAUUCUUCGAACUCUCUCUCUCUCUCGUAUCAACAGAAGGCUCUAAACAGCUAGCUACAAUGCAUGACCGUAAUCUACAACUAGUAAACUAUGUACAGCUCUGGUUUCGAGGUCUGAUGGUGGCCUCUUAAAAAAGUGCAGUAGUACCAUUAAAAUCCCAACGAUUAAUAAUUUUUUCCUAAAGUUGCAGUUUAAGUCAUGGCUUAUAAUGGAGA